AUACGGAGGACGCGAGCGUUAUCCGGAUUCAUUGGGUUUAAAGGGUGCGCAGGCGGCCGUGCAAGUCAGCGGUGAAAGCCCGGGGCUCAACCCCGGAAGUGCCGUUGAUACUGCAUGGCUGGAAUGCGGUCGAGGCGGGCGGGAAGUGGCGUGUAGUGGGGAAAUGCGUAGAUAUGCCACAGAACGCCGAUAGCGGAGGCAGCUCGCCAGGCCUGCAUUGACGCUCGGGCACGAAAGCGUGGGGAUCGAACAGGAUUAGAUACCCUGGUAGUCCACGCCGUAAACGAUGGGCGCUCGUCGUCGGCGGCAGACAGUCGGCGGCCAAGCGAAAGCGAUAAGCGCCCCACCUGGGGAGUACGGUCGCAAGGCUGAAACUUAAAGGAAUUGACGGGG
rnacentral:rRNA from 1 species